AGUGAACGCUGGCAGCGUGCUUAACACAUGCAAGUCGAACGAGAACGGGUUAUAGCUUGCUAUAAUUGUCAGCUAAGUGGCGCACGGGUGAGUAAUGUAUAGGUAAUAUGCCUCUUACUAAGGGAUAACAAAUGGAAACGUUUGCUAAUACCUUAUACUCCUUAUUAACAGAAGUUAAUAAGGGAAAGAUUUAUUGGUAAGAGAUUAGCCUGUAUUGUAUCAGUUAGUUGGUGGGGUAAUGGCUUACCAAGACUAUGACACAUAACUGGUUUGAGAGGAUGAUCAGUCACACUGGAACUGAGACACGGUCCAGACUCCUACGGGAGGCAGCAGUGGGGAAUAUUGCACAAUGGACGAAAGUCUGAUGCAGCAACGCCGCGUGGAGGAUGACACAUUUCGGUGCGUAAACUCCUUUUAUAUGAGAAGAUAAUGACGGUACCUGGAGAAUAAGCUCCGGCUAACUCCGUGCCAGCAGCCGCGGUAA
rnacentral:rRNA from 1 species